rnacentral:rRNA from 1 species
GACGAACGCUGGCGGCAUGCCUAAUACAUGCAAGUCGAGCGGACAGAAGGGAGCUUGCUCCCGGAAGUCAGCGGCGGACGGGUGAGUAACACGUGGGCAACCUGCCCCUUAGAUUGGGAUAACUUCGGGAAACCGAAGCUAAUACCGAAUAAUACAAGGAACCUCCUGGUUCUCUGUUGAAAGAUGGCCUUUGUGCUGUCACUAAGGGAUGGGCCCGCGGCGCAUUAGCUAGUUGGUAAGGUAACGGCUUACCAAGGCGACGAUGCGUAGCCGACCUGAGAGGGUGAUCGGCCACACUGGGACUGAGACACGGCCCAGACUCCUACGGGAGGCAGCAGUAGGGAAUCUUCCGCAAUGGACGAAAGUCUGACGGAGCAAUGCCGCGUGAGUGAGGAAGGCCUUCGGGUCGUAAAGCUCUGUUGUGAGGGAAGAACAAGUACCGGCGUAACUACCGGUACCGUGACGGUACCUCACCAGAAAGCCACGGCUAACUACGUGCCAGCCGCCGCCGUAAGAC